rnacentral:rRNA from 1 species
UUGUAGAACCCGUGACGCUGGCGGCGUGCUUAACACAUGCAAGUCGAACGAUGAUCCCAGCUUGCUGGGGGAUUAGUGGCGAACGGGUGAGUAACACGUGAGUAACCUGCCCUUGACUCUGGGAUAAGCCUGGGAAACCGGGUCUAAUACUGGAUAUGACCUUCUGGCGCAUGCCAUGUUGGUGGAAAGCUUUAUUGCGGUUUUGGAUGGACUCGCGGCCUAUCAGCUUGUUGGUGGGGUAAUGGCCUACCAAGGCGACGACGGGUAGCCGGCCUGAGAGGGUGGACGGCCACACUGGGACUGAGACACGGCCCAGACUCCUACGGGAGGCAGCAGUGGGGAAUAUUGCACAAUGGGCGCAAGCCUGAUGCAGCGACGCCGCGUGGGGGAUGAAGGCCUUCGGGUUGUAAACCUCUUUCAGUAGGGAAGAAGCGAAAGUGACGGUACCUGCAGAAGAAGCGCCGGCUAACUACGUGCCAGCAGCCGCGGUAAUACGUAGGGCGCAAGCGUUAUCCGGAAUUAUUGGGCGUAAAGAGCUCGUAGGCGGUUUGUCGCGUCUGCCGUGAAAGUCCGGGGCUUAACUCCGGAUCUGCGGUGG